rnacentral:rRNA from 1 species
CCAGAAAGGGACGGCUAACUACGUGCCAGCAGCCGCGGUAAUACGUAGGUCCCGAGCGUUGUCCGGAUUUAUNGGGCGUAAAGGGAGCGCAGGCGGUCAGGAAAGUCUGGAGUAAAAGGCUAUGGCUCAACCAUAGUGUGCUCUGGAAACUNUCUGACUUGAGUGCAGAAGGGGAGAGUGGAAUUCCAUGUGUAGCGGUGAAAUGCGUAGAUAUAUGGAGGAACACCAGUGGCGAAAGCGGCUCUCUGGUCUGUCACUGACGCUGAGGCUCGAAAGCGUGGGUAGCGAAUAGGAUUAGAUACCCUGGUAGUCCACGCCGUAAACGAUGAGUGCUAGGUGUUAGGCCCUUUCCGGGGCUUAGUGCCGGAGCUAACGCAAUAAGCACUCCGCCUGGGGAGUACGACCGCAAGGUUGAAACUCAAAGGAAUUGACGGGGGCCCGCACAAGCGGUGGAGCAUGUGGUUUAAUUCGAAGCAACGCGAAGAACCUUACCAGGUCUUGACAUCCCGAUGCUAUUCUUAGAGAUAGGAAGUUACUUCGGUACAUCGGAGACAGGUGGUGCAUGGUUGUCGUCAGCUCGUGUCGUGAGAUGUUGGGUUAAGUCCCGCAACGAGCGCAACCCUUAUUGUUAGUUGCCAUCAUUAAGUUGGGCACUCUAGCGAGACUGCCGGUAAUAAACCGGAGGAAGGUGGGGAUGACGUCAAAUCAUCAUGCCCCUUAUGACCUGGGCUACACACGUGCUACAAUGGUCGGUACAACGAGUUGCGAGCCGGUGACGGCAAGCUAAUCUCUGAAAGCCGAUCUCAGUUCGGAUUGGAGGCUGCAACUCGCCUCCAUGAAGUCGGAAUCGCUAGUAAUCGCGGAUCAGCACGCCGCGGUGAAUACGUUCCCGGGCCUUGUACACACCGCCCGUCACACCACGAGAGUUUGUAACACCCGAAGUCGGUGAGGUANCCUUUUAGGG